GCGGGAUUAGUUUAAUGGUAGAACAUCAGUUUUCCAAACUGAGAGCAGGAGUCCGAUUCCCCUAUCCCGCACCA
rnacentral:tRNA from 1 species